CGCUAUCAUCCUACGGGAGGCAGCAGUGGGGAAUAUUGCACAAUGGGGGAAACCCUGAUGCAGCCAUGCGCGUGUGUGAAGAAGGCCUUCGGGUUGUUAAAGCACUUUCAGUAGGGAGGAAGGUAGUGUAGUUAACACCUGCAUUAUUUGACGUUACCUACAGAAGAAGCACCGGCUAACUCCGUGCCAGCAGCCGCGGUAAUACGGAGGGUGCGAGCGUUAAUCGGAAUUACUGGGCGUAAAAGCGCAUGCAGGCGGCCUGUUAAGUCAGAUGUGAAAGCCCGGGGCUUAACCUCGGAAUUGCAUUUGAAACUGGCAGGCUAGAGUCUUGUAGAGGGGGUAGAAUUUCAGGUGUAGCGGUGAAAAUGCGUAGAGAUCUGAAGGAAUACCAGUGGCGAAGGCGGCCCCCUGGACAAAGACUGACGCUCAGAUGCGAAAGCGUGGGGAGCAAACAGGAUUAGAUACCCUGGUAG
rnacentral:rRNA from 1 species